UAAGGAAUCUUCCACAAUGGACGCAAGUCUGAUGGAGCAACGCCGCGUGAGUGAAGAAGGUCUUCGGAUCGUAAAACUCUGUUGUUAGAGAAGAACACGAGUGAGAGUAACUGUUCAUUCGAUGACGGUAUCUAACCAGCAAGUCACGGCUAACUACGUGUCAG
rnacentral:rRNA from 1 species